CCGCAUUCUUCAAAACCCCCCGUAUGCUAUUUGUAGCUUUUGGGACAAGCAAGAAUGCAAGAUUAAUUCUAGAACUAUCCAAAGUGGAGGGUCUUGUUGCCGUGGCUCUCAAACUAUUUCACCUCUAGAACAUCU